AUCCCCUCUAAGCUAAGUUGAGGUGGAUUAGGAACAUGUUCAGCCACAGAUUCAGCAAGCCACGUGCCUUAAGACAUCUGGGGAGUACAACCAGAAAGGAAAAGAAAAGGAAGGAAAAAAUACAAUGCAUUUCCAGAAGCGCAACAGGAGCAGCUUCACCAGCUGGUCCCCUCGCAGAGAAGCUCUCUGCCGGAAAAAAAAUCUCCCGUCUCCAUGAUGCAACCGCUUUUUGAUGCAAUCCAUUUUUUUCUUUUUUUUUUUCUUUUCUUUUUUACAGAUAUUUACUGGAUUUUGCUGAGUUUUUGUGACUGUUGCGGCUAUAAAUGCUUGAUUUUUCUGUCGCUUUUUUUUUUCUCCAAAAUUUGUGAUGCAGUUUGCAGAGUUUUUUGUGGGAAACUACUUGAAUUAGUGAACUUGCAAUUGCAAAAAAAUGUUUUGCGUUGUCUUUUGCAAUGAUAUUUGUUGGUAAAUGAGAUUUUUAGCUGCACUCAUGUUCUACGCAUGUGAAUCGAAGAGACCUUCGGAUGAAUGUGAUGGUCACAUUGUGAUGAUGUCACAUGACAUCAUGUGACGCGUCUUGACCGAAAUCUGUGGAAAAUCUGAGGCAAUUUAGAAAAUUUGCAAGCUUCUCCGAAUAACCAAAAUAUUAUUGCACACAUUUCCAUAAUGAGCCUUAUAUCUGAAUAGUUAGAUUAUGUUUGGAGGG